CCAACCUAUCAUUUCCUUGCUAAAUCUUGUGUCUUCAGUCCUCUCUCUUUUUAUGUUUUAAAAAAACACAAAAUCCCCAAUUGUCUCUUUCAAAUCCCUAACUUCUUCUGGUGGAGCAAAGCAAACCUUAAAAAUCAAACCCCAAAAUUCAUUUCUUUUAAAGCUCAAAAAAAGAAAUCUUGAUCUCAAAGCUAUGAUUUUUAAGUGUAAAUCCAAGCUUCAAAUUUUGCAGCUUUUGAAUUACUAGCUUUGGACUUUUUUUUUUUACCUCAGCUUCGGCUUCAAAGUCAGCCUUUUUCCUUAUUUUUUCUUCUUAAAUUGUCUUUCUGAUAUCGUUGGAAAAUGUCUUCCCCCUUUUCGGAAUAAAAAUCUUUCAAUAUCGAAGCGGUUUUGAGUUUAUUAAUAUUUCAUGUGAACAUUUCUGCAACUACAACUGUCACCUAACACAUAAAAAUUCAACCAUUUUUCUGUCAAUAAAUCUCCAAAGCCUUCAAAUUUGUGUUUUUAGUAAAUUUGUCGAAUACCAAUUUGUGAAAAUCGCAUGAAUACUUGAGUUUCGAAACCAAAUGUCAGUAGAAAGAUCAUUUGAAGCAUGGGAAGAGGUCCAAAGGCAUGGCCAGGACCUGGCAGACCGGCUAGCUCAAGGGUUUUCAGGCCUUAUACAGUCACAUAUGACAUACCCACCUACGUUUUCUUGGCCGAACUCUCCAAAAUCGAAGCCUUUUGACCUGGAGUUUCCGGGACAUGGUUUUAGUAAAAAUGAUUUUGGGGUUUUAACUGAUAAUUCAGGGAUAGACGGGGUUUCGGCUAUUUUGGAUAUUGGAAAUAGGAUUGGACAAGCUGGGGCUGAUUUUGGUGCGGCUUUGAAUGGAUUGGUGCAUCAGUUUUUUAGGAGAUUACCAGUGCCGUUUAAGCAGGAGGAGCAGGAGGAGAGCGUGGGGCCUGGGUUGAGGAUGGAUGGUAAGAGGAGUGAGAUGGGGCUAUGUUUGGAGGGAGAGUUGGGUUUGGUUAGAGAGAGGUUGAGGGAUUUUGGGUUUGUGGAGGAUAAUAGUGGCGGUGGCAGCCGUGGAGUGGAUGAGUUGUUGGAAGAGGAAAUUGGUGGGUUUAAUUUGAAGGGUGUGGGAUUUCUUGGCAAACCACAGGGGACCAUAAACAUUACCUCAACUUAUGACAGCAGAACUCACAACAUUGAGGGUUCUUUGGUUGCAAGGGGAGAUUUAUGGAGAGUAGAGGCAUCACAUGGAAGCUCCACAUCAAGAAAUGAUAAUUCAUCUAUGUUCCUUGUCCAGCUUGGACCUCUGUUGAUUGUGCGUGAUUCAACCUUUCUUCUGCCUGUGCAUCUUUCAAAGCAACACUUGCUUUGGUAUGGGUAUGAUAGGAAGACUGGAAUGCAUUCACUGUGUCCAGCUGUGUGGUCAAAGCAUAGAAGGUGGUUGUUAAUGUCAAUGCUCUGUCUCAAUCCUUUAGCUUGUUCUUUUGUAGAUUUACAGUUCCCAAAUGGGCAAUUGACCUAUGUAUCUGGUGAAGGACUGUCUACCAGUGCUAUUGUACCUCUUUGCGGAGGUCUUCUCCAAGCUCAGGGGCAAUAUCCUGGGGAAAUGAGAUUCAGCUUCUCUCGUAAGAAUAAGUGGGGAACACGCAUCACACCGAUGGUACAAUGGCCUGACAAAUCGUUUACAUUGGGUUUUGCACAUUCUUUAGCAUGGCAGAGAUCUGGUCUUAUGGUGAGGCCAGCUGUUCAGUUCAGUCGCAUCAGAAGAAUUUGGUCAACAGGAAAAAGUUACACAUUUCGUGAGUACUUGGUUAAACAAUCACAAACCAGGGCCAGUCUGCAUUUCUUGAUGGUGCCAAACAAAUUUUGUGCCCCACUUUUGGUGGAAGCAAUCCUGGUUUGCAUGCAGAACUGAUUCACUCAGUGAAUGACCAUCUGAAUCUGAUAUGUGGCUGUGCUGCAACGAUGCACCCUUCUGCAUUUGCAUCACUAUCGAUUGGCAGGUCUAAGUGGAAUGGUAAUGUGGGGAGCUCAGGACUGGCUGUGAGACUCGAUACUCCUCUCUCUAAUGUUGGCCAACCUUCCUUUUCUGUUCAGAUAAAUAGCGGUGUUGAGUUUUGAUUGAUUUCCCCCGCAUAUCAUGUUAGUUGAAUUGUAAAUAGCCACCAUGCUUUUAACCAUAUGAUACCUACCCCACAUGUGUAUACCUGACUGUUUUUGCAUCAACCAUACUUUUCCCAUCUUCCCUCUCAUUUUGGCAUGUAGUUUUGUUUUCCCACUUGUGUAUACCUGACUGUUUUUGCAUCAAUCAUACGUUUCCCUUCUUCCCUCCCAUGUUGGCAUGUAGUUUUGUUUUCUGAAAUAGAAAGGAGGGUGACAUUAUAUAGAUUUUGAUUCGAUUCUGCUAUAAAUUGACCUUUUCA